CACAGAAUCAAAGUACGACUCUUUCUUGUUGAGCCCUCUCAACCAAGAAAGUAGCCACCAGUUUCUAGUUGGCUUUCUAUCAACCCUUUGAUCCUUGUAGACAAUCGGCAGCCUAACACAAAAUCAAAGUACGACUCUUUCUUGUUGAGACCUCUCACCCAAGAAAGUAGCCACCAGUUUCUAGCUGGGUUUUUAACGUUCGUUUCGUUUCAAAGUAUUGUUACAGAAUGAAUAAAAGAAGUACAAAACAAAAGUCUUCAAUCUUGAUCAAAGUCUUCUCACGAAUCUGGAUAUUCAAUGAUUGUUCAUGAGGAUAACGUCUUUGCUCUCAAGAUUACUUUUUCUUCUUUUUCUUUCAAUGAAUAUAGAUGAUCCUUUAUCUUGAUCUGAAAAAGCAGUAUCAGAUUUGUUAACAAAGUGUAUGUUGAUCUGUAAUCAAAGUUAUCUUGAGUUCUUAGAAAAGUGAAACGUUAUGAUCAAAGUUCUUCUUAGAAAAAGAUUGAAAGACAGUUUAUAUAGUUUCUGAAAAACAACUGCUAAAUCGAUUUCCCAAUCGAUUUAUUAAAGUUAAAACACAUGCUUAAUCGAUUUGCCAAUCGAUUUCGCGAGUCUUGUUUUUCUUUAAUCUUGAAACUAUAUAAGCUAAUCGAUUUACCAAUCGAUUCUUUUAAAACCACUUUUCAGUAAAACAUGUUCAGACUUGUUGGAAUCGAUUGCCUAAUCGAUUUCUGGAAAACUGUUUCAAUAAAAGUAAUUUCAAUCGAUUACUCAAUCGAUGUUCCAAAUCUCAGAGUCGAUGUACAAAAACACAGAGUCGAUUUGGUCACAAUCUCAGAGUUCACUGUGUUGUCAAAAAGUUUAUUUCAAUCGAUU
rnacentral:lncRNA from 1 species